AACGAACGCUGGCGGCAUGCCUAACACAUGCAAGUCGAACGAGACCUUCGGGUCUAGUGGCGCACGGGUGCGUAACGCGUGGGAACCUGCCUUUAGGUUCGGAAUAACUCAGAGAAAUUUGAGCUAAUACCGGAUGAUGUCUUCGGACCAAAGAUUUAUCGCCUUUAGAUGGGCCCGCGUUGGAUUAGCUAGUUGGUGGGGUAAAGGCCUACCAGGGCGACGAUCCAUAGCUGGUCUGAGAGGAUGAUCAGCCACACUGGGACUGAGACACGGCCCAGACUCCUACGGGAGGCAGCAGUGGGGAAUAUUGGACAAUGGGCGAAAGCCUGAUCCAGCAAUGCCGCGUGAGUGAUGAAGGCCUUAGGGUUGUAAAGCUCUUUUACCCGAGAUGAUAACGACAGUAUCGGGAGAAUAAGCUCCGGCUAACUCCGUG
rnacentral:rRNA from 1 species